rnacentral:rRNA from 1 species
UACGUAGGGACCAAGCGUUGUUCGGAUUUACUGGGCGUAAAGGGCGCGUAGGCGGCGCGGUAAGUCACUUGUGAAAAUCUCUGAGCUUAACUCAGAACGGCCAAGUGAUACUGCAGUGCUAGAGUGUGGAAGGGGCAAUCGGAAUUCUUGGUGUAGCGGUGAAAUGCGUAGAUAUCAAGAGGAACACCUGAGGUGAAGACGGGAUUGCG